rnacentral:rRNA from 1 species
UACAGAGGGUGCGAGCGUUGUCCGGAAUCACUGGGCGUAAAGGGCGCGUAGGUGUGGCUUAAGCGUGCGGUGAAAGCUCGGGGCUCAACCCCGAGUCGGCCGUGCGAACUGGGCUCACUGGAGCAUAGUAGAGGCAGGUGGAAUUCCGGGUGUAGCGGUGGAAUGCGUAGAGAUCCGGAAGAACACCGGUGGCGAAGGCGGCCUGCUGGGCUAUGGCUGACACUGAGGCACGACAGCGUGGGGAGCGAACAGG